rnacentral:pre_miRNA from 11 species
CCCUAUUCCCUGAGACCCUAAUUUGUGAUGUUAUUUUUUCCGAUCACAAAUUGGGAAUCUCGAGGUAUUGGG